CGGGGCUUAAAGUCUUGUAAUUGGAAUGAUGGGAAUUUAAACCUCUUCCAGAGUAUCAAUUGGAGGGCAAGUCUGGUGCCAGCAGCCGCGGUAAUUCCAGCUCCAAUAGCGUAUAUUAAAAUUGUUGCAGUUAAAAAGCUCGUAGUUGAAUUUCUGCUGCAUUGCUUGUGUCCCUCUGGGGUCUGUGCAUGUGGCUUUUUUCGGACGGAGUUUCUUUGUCUGAAUGUUUACUUUGAGAAAAUUAGAGUGCUCAAAGCAGGCUUUCGCCUUGAAUAGUUUAGCAUGGAAUAAUAAAGUAGAACUUUGGUUCUAUUUUGUUGGUUUUAGGUACCAAAGUAAUGGUUAAUAGGAACAGUUGGGGGCAUUCGUAUUUAACUGUCAGAGGUGAAAUUCUUAGAUUUGUUAAAGACGAACUACUGCGAAAGCAUUUGCCAAGGAUGUUUUCAUUAAUCAAGAAC
rnacentral:rRNA from 1 species